UUACGAUUAUAUCACGUUGAAACACCGAUUCUCGUACGAACAUCGAAGUUAAGCAACGUCGAGCCUGGUCAGUGCCUAGAUGGGUUACCCCUUGAUAAUGACAGGUGCUGUAA